GGAGAUAUAGCUCAGUGGCAGAGCAUGUGCUUAGCAUGCAGGAGGCCCUGGGUUCAAUCCCUGGUACCUCUC
rnacentral:tRNA from 1 species